rnacentral:tRNA from 1 species
AGCGCGUUGGCUCAGUGGUUAGAGCGUAGGUCUCCUAACCGCAAGGUGGCAGGAUUGAAUCCCGCUAGAGCUA